UACGAAGGGGGCUAGCGUUGCUCGGAAUCACUGGGCGUAAAGGGUGCGUAGGCGGUUCGUUAUGUCGGAUGUGAAAGCCCUUGGCUUAACCGAGGAAGUGCAUCCGAAACUGGCGAGCUAGAGUACGAAAGAGGAUCGCGGAAUUCCCGGUGUAGAGGUGAAAUUCGUAGAUAUCGGGAGGAACACCGGUGGCGAAGGCGGUUCUCUGGGCCUGUACUGACGCUGAGGAGCGAAAGCGUGGGGAGCGAACAGG
rnacentral:rRNA from 1 species